CACUAAUUAAUAUUUUUUUUAAAAGCUACAAUUCGGUAGAUGGUAUACGUGUCACGAUUAAUUAACAUACGAAGUGCCCAAAUAAAAUACGGGCGCUGUUUGUUACCUCAAAAUGGAUAUAUAAAAAGACUGACCACCUCGGGGGCUGUCACAGUACGAGUUUCUUCCAAGUAGUUGUUCGUUUAACUAUAACGAACAAUGGCUUCUGCUACAACUCUCGCCAUUUUAAUGGCACUCGCUGCUAACGCGGUAUUUCUUCAUGCUUCUCCACAUGAACCU